AUGAGGACGGCGUCGAUGUGCACCGCAUCUACUGUGCGGGGCACGCACACGUUCAAGAUCGCCGGCUUCAGCCUUCACAGGGGCCUCGGCGUCGGCAACUUCAUCCCGUCUGCCACCUUCGACAUCGGCGGCUACCUCUGGCGCGUACUGUUCUACCCCGAUGGGGAGAUGGAGAUGGAGAAUGGGGAUCACGCCUCCGUUUUCCUCGACCUUGUUAGCAAGGCCACCGAGGUGAGGGCGUUAUUCGAGGUCAGGUUGGUCGACCAGACUAACAAGCUGCCACCUUCGGUGGUGCUCUCCCAGAAGACGCCGUAUGUGUUCAACAACACUGAACAUAGCAACUCUGUGGGCGACGACUUCUUGCAACCAUUGGGGUACCUGCUUGACGACAGCCUUGUGCUUGAGUGCGAUGUCACGGUUCUGACGGAAUCCAAGGUGACCCUGACUGCGACCACCUUCGACAUCCAAGUGCCUCCCUCAGACUUGGGGGAGCAUUUCAGGGAAUUGCUAGAGAAGGAGGAGGAAGCAGAUGUCCUUUUUGAUGUUGAAGGGGUGGUUUUUCCCGCGCACAAAAUUGUGGUUGCAGGGCGCUCACCGGUCUUCAAAGCGCAGCUCUUUGGACCAAUGAGCGACAGGACAAGGCGGCACAUAACCAUUGAAGAUAUGCAGCCCGCUGUUUUCAGGGCGUUGCUUCACUUCAUCUACACAGAUUCGUUGCCUUCGAUGGAAAAACUUGAUGGAGAUGAGGGCAAAGAAAUGAUUAAGCACUUGCUUGUGGCUGCGGAUAGGUAUGCGAUGGAAAGGAUGAAGGUUAUGUGUGAGAGCAUCCUUUGCAAAAGUCUUGAUGUUGAGAAUGCCACUGCUACAUUGGCUCUAGCUGACCAGCAUCACUGCAGCAACCUCAGAGAUGCUUGCCUUGAGUUUAUCACUUCUCCGGAUAGAAUGGAUGAUGUCAUGGCAAGCCAAGGGUAUACUCACCUCAAAAGAUCCUGCCCUUCUAUUGUCAUAGAUGUCUUCGAGGGGGCAAAAAGGUCCCGCAAAAUCUAG
rnacentral:rRNA from 1 species